GGACUGCCUUUUGCAUAAUGAGCCUGCGAGUUGUGGUGUCUGGCAAGGUUAAGCAAACGCGAAGCCGUAGCGAAAGCGAGUCUGAAUAGGGCGCUUAGUCAGAUGCUGCAGACCCGAAACGAAGUGAUCUAUCCAUGAGCAAGUUGAAGCUAGUGUAAGAACUAGUGGAGGACUGAACCCAUAGGCGUUGAAAAGCCCCGGGAUGACUUGUGGAUAGGGGUGAAAGGCCAAUCAAACUUCGUGAUAGCUGGUUCUCUCCGAAAUAUAUUUAGGUAUAGCGUUGUGUCGUAAUAUAAGGGGGUAGAGCACUGAAUGGGCUAGGGCAUACACCAAUGUACCAAACCCUAUCAAACUCCGAAUACCUUAUAUGUAAUCACAGCAGUCAGGCGGCGAGUGAUAAAAUCCGUCGUCAAGAGGGAAACAACCCAGACUACCAGCUAAGGUCCCUAAAUCUUACUUAAGUGGAAAACGAUGUGAAGUUACUUAAACAACCAGGAGGUUGGCUUAGAAGCAGCCAUCCUUUAAAGAAAGCGUAAUAGCUCACUGGUCUAGUGAUUUUGCGCGGAAAAUAUAACGGGGCUAAAGUAAGUACCGAAGCUGUAGACUUAGUUUACUAAGUGGUAGGAGAGCGUUCUAUUUGCGUCGAAGGUAUACCGGUAAGGAGUGCUGGAGCGAAUAGAAGUGAGCAUGCAGGCAUGAGUAGCGAUAAUUAAUGUGAGAAUCAUUAACGCCGUAAACCCAAGGUUUCCUACGCGAUGCUCGUCAUCGUAGGGUUAGUCGGGUCCUAAGUCGAGUCCGAAAGGGGUAGACGAUGGCAAAUUGGUUAAUAUUCCAAUACCAACAUUAGUGUGCGAUGGAAGGACGCUUAGGGCUAAGGGGGCUAGCGGAUGGAAGUGCUAGUCUAAGGUCGUAGGAGGUUAUACAGGCAAAUCCGUAUAACAAUACUCCGAGAACUGAAAGGCUUUUUGAAGUCUUCGGAUGGAUAGAAGAACCCCUGAUGCCGUCGAGCCAAGAAAAGUUUCUAAGUUUAGCUAAUGUUGCCCGUACCGUAAACCGACACAGGUGGGUGGGAUGAGUAUUCUAAGGCGCGUGGAAGAACUCUCUUUAAGGAACUCUGCAAAAUAGCACCGUAUCU
rnacentral:rRNA from 1 species